AAUAAACAAAUUUUACCUUGGUAUUCACAAUCACAAUUAGGUUUUACCUACAUGAAUGACUUAAGGUUGUGAAAGGGACACAAGUUUUGGUGUAGCAACUCAGGUAGAAUCUUCUUCUAGAUUAUAGCCUAAAGAAUCUCUAGAACAUAAAAACACAACAUCAACAUCACCAUUACUAGAGCUAUGGAGCGAAGAUUCGUGAAGCAACUUAGGUAGAUGUUUCUUCUGAACUAUAGCUUAAAAGAAGCUUUAGAUCACAACAUCAUGA
rnacentral:lncRNA from 1 species